CCUACGGGAGGCAGCAGUGGGGAAUAUUGGACAAUGGGCGAAAGCCUGAUCCAGCCAUGCCGCGUGUGUGAAGAAGGCCUUCGGGUUGUAAAGCACUUUCAGUGGGGAAGAAAGCCUUGGGGCUAAUACCCUCGAGGAAGGACAUCACCCACAGAAGAAGCACCGGCUAACUCCGUGCCAGCAGCCGCGGUAAUACGGAGGGUGCGAGCGUUAAUCGGAAUUACUGGGCGUAAAGCGCGCGUAGGCGGUCUGAUAAGCCGGUUGUGAAAGCCCCGGGCUCAACCUGGGAACGGCAUCCGGAACUGUCAGGCUAGGGUGCAGGAGAGGAAGGUAGAAUUCCCGGUGUAGCGGUGAAAUGCGUAGAGAUCGGGAGGAAUACCAGUGGCGAAGGCGGUCUUCUGGACUGACACUGACGCUGAGGUGCGAAAGCGUGGGUAGCAAACAGGAUUAGAUACCCCAGUAGUC
rnacentral:rRNA from 1 species